UCUCCUUCUGGCCUCCAGCACAAAGGUAGACCACAGCGUAAUCCUGAGAAACCAUCAGGUCUAACGUACCCACCACGUACCUGCAGGGCGACAGACAGGUAGACAGGGAGACAGACAGGUCGACACACUGGUACAGACACUGGUAGAAACACUGUCAGACAGUUAGGCAGACAGACAGGUAGACAGGGAGACAGACAGGUCGACACACUGGUACAAACACUGG